rnacentral:lncRNA from 1 species
GACAAUAGGAAUUGCUUGAGCAUCUUCGCCAUCUAUUGUCUUCAUCAUUUAUGUCACUUGGGUACGGAGGACAUGGAGUUCAAUUUUACGGGGGAAAGCCCUGUCGAGACAAAAAGAAAAGUGUAUUACUAUGUCAACAACUAAUUGGGGAUAUAUGUCAACGUAAAAAAAAAAAAAAAUUGCUUACUCUUCUAGAGAGAAAGAGAUGUCGAAGGCAAAAUUUUGGAGCCACGCCUUUGCUGAACUUACCAAGGAGAAUUUAGAAAAUUUGUUCAUUGCUUCAACCUAGUAACAAAGCUAGUUAGAAGAUGACUAGUAACGGGAUGGUGGGAUAUAUGGUGCCCAGCUUUUUACUAUAAUACGUGAUAGACUCCUUGCCGUGGAU